UAUUUUGAAUUUUAACAUUUUCUUGUCACUGUGCUGGAUGGACGUAAUGCACAGGUUGAAUGGAUUGUUGUAUAAGCUUCGGUGGUGCGUACGUAUAAUAUUGUUUGUGUUGAAGCUUUAUCGUUGAAAGGUUAGGUUCUUCUUCUAAAGGUUGAAGGUUAGGUAUUUUGUUUCGUCUCUGUUCUGAAAGAAUUUGUUUCCGCAUCUUGGUGUCUUCACUGUCAUAGUGUGAUGGAAGUUGUUUGCUGUCUCUGGUGCCCUCUCACCUGGGUUAUUGUUCAGAGGUAAUUUCCACUAUCUUUCUUUUCCUUUUUCCUAAUGCUACAAUGAGAAAUUGAAACUUAUAAUAUGUAUGAAUUAUAGUGGUCGAGGCCGUAAAAGCAGGUGUGAACAAGCCAAAGUUGCUCUCCAAGGAGUUUAGCACUAUAAUUAAUGUUGUUGGUUCCUCUCUGAUCGACAGCAUGGGUUUCUUAAAAGACCCUUUUGCAUUUAUAUGCGUUCUUCAAACUGUCCUGAGCACCACAAAUUACAUAUUUAUUCUAUUUACAACUCGAUAUGAAGCCUUAGAAUCAAUUGUUCGUAGCAUUGCCUCUGAAGCAUCAUUUGAAGGAGAACAUGUCCAUCUCAUUCCACCUAUCACAGAAAAAUUGGAACCUGUUUAGUGUAAACAUUGCAAUGGCAGGGACAGGCUUAUACCAACUCUCACCAAAAUUGCGGUAGGAGGUAUUUUUAUUUUAGUUUUGGUUGAUUUCUCCUCCCCAAGGGUUGGAGUUAAAGGUUCUAGACACAGAUUCUUCGUCUUGUGAUAAUAAGGUUGCAUACACUCACCUUGCCCUGUUCCCCAAAGUACAGUGAACCUCAUACAUCAAGCCAUUAAUUUGAUCAACAGUAAUAAAGUUUACUUUUUCAAGUGUAGUAUUAGGUGUGAUUUAUCAGAAAAACAAAAGGCAAUAGUGAGGGAAGAAACACAAUUACAUUUUCAAGUGAAACUCUGCUUUGUGAUAAUUUCUAUGACACAUCAUAUAUUAACUUGUGUACUUUUCAGGCAUGAUUAUUCCUCUGAAGCGGCUGUGAUGAAAUAAUGAUGCUAAAUAUUUCAUGUUUUUGUGUACUUGGAAGCUGAUGUUGAGGCUGUAAUUUCAGUUGUUCCACAUAUAAUUGUAUUUAUACUUUUGGGUGUGUCGUUCAUUUUUACUUUUACAAGUUUCAAAUUGUUAUAAAGCUAUGUUGAUUUAAUCAAUUGGAUAUCCUUAAGUUGGAUUAGAUAAAUAUUAUUUACUUGCAUAUAUGUAAUCUCUAAUCGUUGAUCAAUGUUACUUUUCCAGUUUUUCUUCAUAUAAUAUCCCAUGCAUUGGUUGUUUUAGAUAAUUGGAAGCAUUGGAGCUGGCGCUGCAGGACUAGAUUUGGGAAAAUAAGGACCGUUGGUACAUAUAGAAUGUUUUUGGAAUCUAAUUUUUCUAUAGGAUCCCUUGAAGGGAGACUUGCUAUUGCAGUGGCAUAGCCAACCUGGCGUGGUUCUAUUGUGUAAUUUUGCUCUUCCAUCAUAUUCGACUAUCUACCACUGAUAACAUAACAUAGCUGGAAAAUCGUACUCCUCUAUUCAGGUUUAGAAAAUAGAUAUUUGUCAGUACAUCAUAUAUAAAUUGUACUCAUAUAGACGUCUUUGUUACAGGUUUAGAAACUCACAUUUGAAGCACUCUCUGAGACUUCUGAGUUUGCAAGGAAAUGAGUUCCAUUCUGCAAGAAGUUCAGCAUUGAACCUCAGGCU